rnacentral:rRNA from 1 species
AUAUUGGACAAUGGGCGAAAGCCUGAUCCAGCCAUGCCGCGUGUGUGAAGAAGGUCUNNNGAUUGNACAGCACCUUAAGUUGGNAGGNAGGGCUUUAGGUUAAUACCCUGAAGUUUUGACGUUACCAACAGAAUAAGCACCGGCUAACUCUGUGCCAGCAGCCGCGGUAAUACAGAGGGUGCAAGCGUUAAUCGGAAUUACUGGGCGUAAAGCGCGCGUAGGCGGUUUGAUAAGUUGGAUGUGAAAGCCCCGGGCUCAACCUGGGAAUUGCCUCCAAGACUGUCAGGCUAGAGUACGGGAGAGGGGGGUAGAAUUCCACGUGUAGCGGUGAAAUGCGUAGAGAUGUGGAGGAAUACCGGUGGCGAAGGCGGCCCCCUGGAUCGAUACUGACGCUGAGGUGCGAAAGCGUGGGGAGCAAAC